GAUGAACGCUGGCGGCGUGCCUAAUACAUGCAAGUAGAACGCUGAAGGAGGAGCUUGCUCUUCUGGAUGAGUUGCGAACGGGUGAGUAACGCGUAGGUAACCUGCCUGGUAGCGGGGGAUAACUAUUGGAAACGAUAGCUAAUACCGCAUGACAACAGUUAUUGCAUGAUAACUGUUUAAAAGGGGCAACUGCUCCACUACCAGAUGGACCUGCGGUGUAUUAGCUAGUUGGUGAGGUAACGGCUCACCAAGGCGACGAUACAUAGCCGACCUGAGAGGGGGAUCGGCCAACCUGGGACUGAGACACGGCCCAGACUCCUACGGGAGGCAGCAGUAGGGAAUCUUCGGCAAGGGACGGAAGUCUGACCGAGAAACGCCGCGUGAGUGAAGAAGGUUGUCGGAUCGUAAAGCUCUGUUGUAAGAGAAGAACGAGUGUGAGAGUGGAAAGUUCACACUGUGACGGUAACUUACCAGAAAGGGACGGCUAACUACGUG
rnacentral:rRNA from 1 species